GACGUCAUGGGCCGGGGGGAGGUGUGUGUGACCCCCCCAAUAAACAGCUGGACACAUCUGGACACAUCUGGACACACCGAUACACACCUGUGCACACGGAAGAAAUCCCCCAUGCCCAGGGCUGAUCCCCAGCACGGGCAGCAGAGGAGGGGGGAUGGAACAAGAUGAUCUUUAAGGUUCAUUCCGACCCAAACCAAUCGGUGCCUCUCUGAAAUACCCCGUGUACACACAUGCUUUGAGCACCUCAGCCCAGCCGAGCUCUGUGUCUAACUGAGAUCUCCAGGGUUUUCCAGGUUCCCAAGGGGGUCCAGGAGUGGGGGCACGGACAAGGGCACAGGUGGGUGAGUGCCAGCUCUGGCUCACCCCCAGGAUUGUCUCUGCUCUGCUGAGCAGUGGGUUUUUCUGCCAGAACUGCAGCCUCAAAUGGGCUGGAAGCAGAUUGCAGGAGGAGCGCUCCUGCUCUUGGGCGCUGGGAAAUGACUUCUCUCCAUCACACCAGCACCCACUGGCACAGAGACCCUGCAGGACCCACCAGCUGGGCAGGUGACACACAUCCCAC